rnacentral:rRNA from 1 species
AGAGUUUGAUCAUGGCUCAGGAUGAACGCUAGCGGCAGGCUUAACACAUGCAAGUCGAGGGGCAGCGCGGGAUAGCAAUAUCCUGGCGGCGACCGGCGGAAGGGUGCGUAACGCGUGAGCGACAUGCCCAUUGCCCGGGGACAACCGGUGGAAACGCCGACUAAUCCCCGAUGGGAUACGAUGCUUCAUGGCAUUGUAUUGAAAGUUACGGCGGCGACGGAUUGGCUCGCGUCCGAUUAGCUUGUUGGCGGGGUAACGGCCCACCAAGGCUACGAUCGGUAGGGGUUCUGAGAGGAAGGCCCCCCACAAUGGGACUGAGACACGGCCCAUACUCCUACGGGAGGCAGCAGUGAGGAAUAUUGGUCAAUGGGCGGAAGCCUGAACCUGCCAUGCCGCGUGCGGGAAGGAGGCCCUAUGGGCUAUGAAUCGCUUUUGCCUGGGGGCAAUAAGGGCGUCGCGCACGUCCGAUGAGAGUACCAGGCGAAUAAGCAUCGGCUAACUCCGUGCCAGCAGCCGCGGUAAUACGGGGGAUGCGAGCGUUACCCGGAUUCAUUGGGUUUAAAGGGUGCGUAGGCUGUGCGUCAAGUCGGGGGUGAAAUUCCGGUGCUCAACACCGGGGCUGCCCUUGAUACUGUCGCGCUGGAGUGCGGAUGCCGCCGGAGGAAUGAGUGGUGUAGCGGUGAGAUGCUUAGAUAUCACUCAGAACACCGAUUGCGAAGGCAUCUGGCGAAUCCGUAACUGACGCUGAGGCACGAAAGCGUGGGGAUAGAACAGGAUUAGAUACCCUGGUAUUCCACGCCGUAAACGAUGAUGGCUAACCGCCGGCGACACACUGUCGGUGGCCAAGCGAAAGCGAUAAGCCAUCCACCUGGGGAGUACGUCGGCAACGAUGAAACUCAAAGGAAUUGACGGGGGCCCGCACAAGCGGAGGAACAUGUGGUUUAAUUCGAUGAUACGCGAGGAACCUUACCCAGGCUUGAAUUGCAGAGGAAGGAUUUGGAGACAAUGACGCCCUUCGGGGCCUCUGUGAAGGUGCUGCAUGGUUGUCGUCAGCUCGUGCCGUGAGGUGUCGGCUUAAGUGCCAUAACGAGCGCAACCCCUCUCCAUAGUUGCCAUCAGGUGAAGCUGGGCACUCUGUGGACACUGCCACCGUAAGGUGCGAGGAAGGUGGGGAUGACGUCAAAUCAGCACGGCCCUUACGUCCGGGGCUACACACGUGUUACAAUGGCAGGUACAGAGAGCCGGUCGUAUGCAAAUACGAUCCAAUCCUUAAAGCCUGUCUCAGUUCGGACUGGGGUCUGCAACCCGACCCCACGAAGCUGGAUUCGCUAGUAAUCGCGCAUCAGCCAUGGCGCGGUGAAUACGUUCCCGGGCCUUGUACACACCGCCCGUCAAGCCAUGAAAGCCGGGGGCGCCUGAAGUCCGUGACCGCAAGGAGCGGCCUAGGGCGAAACUGGUAAUUGGGGCUAAGUCGUAACAAGGUA